rnacentral:rRNA from 1 species
UGGGAAUUUGGACAAUGGGCGAAGCCUGAUCCAGCAAUGCCGCGUGUGUGAAGAAGGCCUUCGGGUUGUAAAGCACUUUUGUCCGGAAAGAAAUCCUUGGCUCUAAUACAGUCGGGGAUGACGGUACCGGAAGAAUAAGCACCGGCUAACUACGUGCCAGCAGCCGCGGUAAUACGUAGGGUGCAAGCGUUAAUCGGAAUUACUGGGCGUAAAGCGUGCGCAGGCGGUUUGCUAAGACCGAUGUGAAAUCCCCGGGCUCAACCUGGGAACUGCAUUGGUGACUGGCAGGCUAGAGUAUGGCAGAGGGGGGUAGAAUUCCACGUGUAGCAGUGAAAUGCGUAGAGAUGUGGAGGAAUACCGAUGGCGAAGGCAGCCCCCUGGGCCAAUACUGACGCUCAUGCACGAAAGCGUGGGGAGCAAACAGGAUUAGAUACCCUGGUAGUCCACGCCCUAAAACGAUGUCAACUAGUUGUUGGGGAUCAUUCCUUAGUAACGUAGCUAACGCGUGAAGUUGACC